rnacentral:misc_RNA from 1 species
UACGUAGGUGGCAAGCGUUGUCCGGAUUUACUGGGCGUAAAGGGCGGGCAGGCGGAUUGUUAAGUAGGAAGUGAAAGGUUGGAGCUCAACUCUAACACUGCUCCCUAUACUGGCAGUCUUGAGUCCCGGAGAGGAAAGCGGAACGACACGUGUAGCGGUGAAAUGCGUUGAUAUGUGUCGGAACACCAAUUGCGAAGGCAGCUUUCUGGACGGGAACUGACGCUCAUCCGCGAAAGCCAAGGUAGCGAACAGG